rnacentral:pre_miRNA from 2 species
AUGUGCCUGGCUCCCUGUAUGCCACUCAUCUAGAGCAACAACACCAAUCCUAAUGUUGCCUACGAUGGAUGGCGUGCACGAAGCCAAGCAUCU